rnacentral:rRNA from 1 species
GACGAACGCUGGCGGCGUGCUUAACACAUGCAAGUCGAACGGAAAGGCACUGCUUUUGUGCGGUGCCCGAGUGGCGAACGGGUGAGUAACACGUGAGUAACCUGCCCUUGACUUUGGGAUAACUUCAGGAAACUGGGGCUAAUACCGGAUAGGAGCUCCUGCUGCAUGGUGGGGGGUGGAAAGUUUCGGCGGUUGCGGAUGGACUCGCGGCUUAUCAGCUUGUUGGUGGGGUAGUGGCAUACCAAGGCUGUGACGGGUAGCCGGCCUGUGAGGGUGACCGGCCACAUUGGGACUGAGAUACGGCCCAGACUCCUACGGUAGACAGCAGUGGGGAAUAUUGCACAAUGGGCGGAAGCCUGAUGCAGCAACGCCGCGUGCGGGAUGACGGCCUUCGGGUUGUAAACCGCUUUCGCCUGUGACGAAGCGUGAGUGACGGUAAUGAGUAAAGAAGCACCGGCUAACUACGUG